UACGUAGGGGGCAAGCGUUGUCCGGAAUCAUUGGGCGUAAAGCGCGUGUAGGCGGCCAGAAAAGUCCGCUGUGAAAACUCGAGGCUCAACUUCGAGCUGUCGGUGGAAACUUUCUGGCUAGAGUCCGGAAGAGGAGAAUGGAAUUCCUGGUGUAGCGGUGAAAUGCGCAGAUAUCAGGAAGAACACCCGUGGCGAAGGCGGUUCUCUGGGACGGUACUGACGCUGAGGAGCGAAAGCGUGGGGAGCGAACAGG
rnacentral:rRNA from 1 species